CACUCCUACGGGAGGCAGCAGUGGGGAAUAUUGGACAAUGGGCGCAAGCCUGAUCCAGCCAUGCCGCGUGAGUGAUGAAGGCCCUAGGGUUGUAAAGCUCUUUCACCGGUGAAGAUAAUGACGGUAACCGGAGAAGAAGCCCCGGCUAACUUCGUGCCAGCAGCCGCGGUAAUACGAAGGGGGCUAGCGUUGUUCGGAUUUACUGGGCGUAAAGCGCACGUAGGCGGACUAUUAAGUCAGGGGUGAAAUCCCGGGGCUCAACCCCGGAACUGCCUUUGAUACUGGUAGUCUUGAGUUCGAGAGAGGUGAGUGGAAUUCCGAGUGUAGAGGUGAAAUUCGUAGAUAUUCGGAGGAACACCAGUGGCGAAGGCGGCUCACUGGCUCGAUACUGACGCUGAGGUGCGAAAGCGUGGGGAGCAAACAGGAUUAGAUACCCCAGUAGUCCCAUGAU
rnacentral:rRNA from 1 species